UUCACUUCUGUGUUUCCAUUCUCCUCCAGGAUCCUCCCACUGGUCAUUGUUCUGUUCUUGUCAUUGCUUUGAUUUCUCUCUUUCCUUUUCUCCUAUCUUUGGAAAAGCUGGUCUGCAAUCCAAGUAUAAGGAUGCCUUUCUUUCCUUGGCAAGUAGAUGGACUGGACCUAGUAUCCCUUGAAAUAUGCUACUGAACAAUGUCACCUUUGUAAUACCAGUGGAAAGGGAGGAAGGGAGGAAUGGAAGGAACAAAGGAAAAGAAAACAGGCAGCCUGUUGGUCUUGAUGUACAGUCAUCUCAUGAAAAGGGCUUUGGCUCAAAAGAUGCCGUGUUGAAAGCAGAACGUGUGAAGUGGUGAGAAAUGGAAUCGUGAGACUUUUGCAUUAAAUCUGAGACCCCACUUUGCUGAAAUCCCAAGAGAAAUGUAUUUUUCUCAUCUCAAGUUAUUCCUGCUGCACUGUCAGACAGGUCAGUAACUGGUAU